rnacentral:lncRNA from 1 species
CUCAGCUGCCAGCCUUUGGACAAACGACCAUCAGAACUGGAGUGGGUUGUGCCUACUUUCAUUGUAGGCAGUCAGAAGGUACUGGACUCUAGGAGUCCCUUCCGCUCAUUUGUAGAGAACAUAGUGCUGCUUAUCUGCUGUGAUCGAUCCAGUUUCGAAUUGACUCGAGCUUCAUACUGGCCCAGGAUGAAGGAAGUACUUCCUGAAGAAUAUAGGAAUGGAAAUGACUUUGAGGUAUAAAUACAUAACAAGAGGUCCCAAAACUGAGAGACCUGCAAGGACAAAUAUGUAUUCAAUGGGACAUGAAGAAACUGGUCCUUGAGAGACAGUUUUGGACCAGGGAUGAAGUAGCCCAGCUUAGCAGUAGCGCCACAUGUCCAACAUGUUCAACACUGCCGCAAAUCAGAGAAUCGAUUCUUCCACUGUUUUGCCAGGGUCUAAGAUUGUCCAAGAAGAUAAGCCAGCUGGACUGUACACAAUGCAACACUGCUCUAAAGUCAACAGCAAGUCUCUUCUGGACUCGUCUGAAAGCAAAAUUUCACCCAGAGAGAAGAGAACAGAUUUUGGGAUGCUCCUUUUCAUUUCUUCAUUCUGAAAUAGCUGGGCUGGAAAUAGAAAGGACAGACAAAACCUAUUAACUGUACUGAGGAAGAUUCAUGGUGUCUAGAUACUUUCUAUCCAUUAUUAUGCUGGCAGUUUCAAAGAGGUGUCAAUUUUCUGUGCCAAAAUACGGGACUAGAACUACAAAUCCUGUUUUGGAUUCAUGAGAAGAGAAACUAUUUAUUUGUGAUUCAUGAUGAAAAUAUACCUUAUAUACGAGUAUAAAAGUAGCCAGUUUUGUGUUGCAUAUAAAAUAUGCCUUAUAAACAUCUCUUACAUUAAAUGGCUUAUUGUUCUCAUGCUUUACAUGCAGG